rnacentral:rRNA from 1 species
CUUAGUGGCGAACGGGUGAGUAACGCGUGAGUAACCUGCCCUGGAGUGGGGGACAACAGUUGGAAACGACUGCUAAUACCGCAUAAGCCCACGGAUCCGCAUGGAUCUGCGGGAAAAGGAUUUAUUCGCUUCAGGAUGGACUCGCGUCUAAUUAGCUAGUUGGUGAGGUAACGGCCCACCAAGGCGACGAUUGGUAGCCGGACUGAGAGGUUGAACGGCCACAUUGGGACUGAGACACGGCCCAGACUCCUACGGGAGGCAGCAUG